GCGAAAGUGGCGGAACUGGCAGACGCGAUAGACUUAGGAUCUAUUGGGGAAACCCGUGGGGGUUCGAGUCCCCCCUUUCGCACCA
rnacentral:tRNA from 1 species